AACGAACGCUGGCGGCAUGCCUAACACAUGCAAGUCGAACGAGACCUUCGGGUCUAGUUGCGCACGGGUGCGUAACGCGUGGGAACCUGCCCUUAGGCUCGGAAUAACUCCCUGAAAGGGGUGCCAAUACCGGAUAACGUCCUCGGACCAAAGAUUCAUCGCGUUUGGAUGGGCCCGCGUUGGAUUAGCUAGUUGGUAGGGUAAAAGCCUACCAAGGCGACGAUCCAUAGCUGGUCUGAGAGGAUGAUCAGCCACACUGAGACUGGGACACGGCCCAGACUCCUACGGGAGGCAGCAGUGGGGAAUACUGGACUAUGGGCGAAAGCCUGAUCCAGCAAUGCCGCGUGAGUGAUGAAGGCGUUAGGGUUGUGAAGCUCUUUUACACGGGAUGAUAAUGACGGUACCGGGAGAAUAAGCACCGGCUAACUCCGUG
rnacentral:rRNA from 1 species